rnacentral:tRNA from 1 species
AAAGUGAUGACCGAGUGGUUUAUGGUAACGAAUUGUAAAUUCGUCAAAAUCGCUGGUUCAAAUCCAGCUCACUUUA